UGCCUCAGUAACGGCGAGUGAAGCGGCAACAGCUCAAAUUUGAAAUCCGGCGCAAGCCCGAGUUGUAAUUUGUAGAGGAUGCUUCAGGGCAGCGGCCGGUCUAAGUUCCUUGGAACAGGACGUCGUAGAGGGUGAGAAUCCCGUAUGCGACCGGUUGGCACCCGUCACGUAGCUCCUUCGACGAGUCGAGUUGUUUGGGAAUGCAGCUCUAAAUGGGAGGUAAAUUUCUUCUAAAGCUAAAUAUUGGCCAGAGACCGAUAGCGCACAAGUAGAGUGAUCGAAAGAUGAAAAGCACUUUGGAAAGAGAGUUAAAAAGCACGUGAAAUUGUUGAAAGGGAAGCGCAUGCAACCAGACUUGUCGGCGGUGUUCCGCCGGUCUUCUGACCGGUCUACUCGCCGCCGGCAGGCCAGCAUCAUCUGGACGCGCCGGAUAAAGGCGUGGGGAAUGUAGCUCCUCGGAGUGUUAUAGCCCCGCGCACAAUACGGCGCCGCCCGGGUGAGGUCCGCGCUUCGGCUAGGAUGCUGGCGUAAUGGUCGUCUGCGGCCCGUCUUGAAACACGGACCAAGGAGUCUAACAUCUAUGCGAGUGUUCGGGUGUCAAACCCCUACGCGGAAUGAAAGUGAACGGAGGUGGGAAGCGCAAGCUGCACCAUCGACCGAUCCUGAUGUCUUCGGAUGGAUUUGAGUAAGAGCAUAGCUGUUGGGACCCGAAAGAUGGUGAACUAUGCCUGAAUAGGGUGAAGCCAGAGGAAACUCUGGUGGAGGCUCGCAGCGGUUCUGACGUGCAAAUCGAUCGUCAAAUU
rnacentral:rRNA from 1 species